rnacentral:rRNA from 1 species
UCAAGCUAGAAAGAGCGCAAGGGGAAUGCCUUGGCAUCAGGAGCCGACGAAGGACGUGACAAGCUGCGAUAAGCUGCGGUGAGCUGCACAUAAGCUUUGACCCGCAGAUUUCCGAAUGGGGAAACCCGGCAGAGCAAUACUCUGUCAGCGUGCGUUGAAUCAAAUAGGCGUACGCGGGGAACCGCCUGAACUGAAACAUCUAAGUAGGGCGAGGAAGAGAAAUCAACCGAGAUUCCGCUAGUAGUGGCGAGCGAACGCGGAAGAGGGCAAACCGGAGGAUUUAUCCUCCGGGGUUGUGGACAGUUUUUUAGCAACUGGAACUAGGAGAACGGUAUGGGAAGGCCGGCCAUAGCGGGUGAUAGCCCCGUAUCCGAAAGGGAAGGUUGUGCGACUGGAUCCAGAGUACCGCCGGACACGUGAAACCCGGUGGGAAGCUGGGGGGACCACCCUCCAACCCUAAAUACUACCUGAUGACCGAUAGAGGAGCAGUACCGUGAGGGAAAGGUGAAAAGGACCCCGGGAGGGGAGUGAAAGAGAACCUGAAACCUUGUGCUUACAAGCACUCAAAGCCCGUUAAAGGGUGAUGAGGUACCUUUUGUAGAAUGGUCCGGCGAGUUAUUGUUACUGGCAAGCUUAAGGCAUUCAGUGCCGGAGGCGAAGGGAGACCGAGUCUGAAUAGGGCGUAUGAAGUCAGUGGCAAUAGACCCGAAACCGGGUGACCUAUCCAUGGGCAGGUUGAAGUGGGGGUAAAACCCCAUGGAGGACCGAACGCACGCCCGUUGCAAUGGUCGGCGAUGACCUGUGGAUAGCGGUGAAAUUCCAAUCGAACUCGGAGAUAGCUGGUUCUCCCCGAAAUAGCUUUAGGGCUAGCGUUGGCUUAGAUUACCGGAGGUAAAGCACUGAAUGGGCUAGGGGCCGAUAAGGUUACUGAACCCUAUCAAACUCUGAAUGCCGGAUAAUUGAUGGCCAGCAGUCAGUCUACGUGAGAUAAGUCUCGUGGACAAAAGGGAAACAGCCCAGACCCACAGCUAAGGUCCCAAAGAUACGCUAAGUGGAAAACGAUGUGGAGUUGCGAAAACAACCAGGAUGUUGGCUUAGAAGCAGCCACUCAUUAAAAGAGUGCGUAAUAGCUCACUGGUCGAGUGACUCUGCGCGGAAAAUAUAACGGGGCUAAGCGUAACACCGAAGCUUGGGCUGCACAGCAAUGUGCGGGGUAGGGGAGCGUCGAAUAUGGGGUGAAGUCGCAGCGGAAGCAGUGGUGGACUGUAUUCGAGUGAGAAUGCCGGAAUGAGUAGCGAGAAUUAUGUGGGAAUCAUAAUGGCCGAAAAUCUAAGGUUUCCUGGGGAAGGUUCGUCCGCCCAGGGUAAGCCGGGAGCUAAGGCGAGGCCGAAAGGCGUAGUCGAUGCACAUACGGUUGAAAUUCCGUAGCCACCGAACCUUAAGUACACUGACACAUGGAGAUAGCGGGACCCGGGCGUUGGUUGACCCGGGCGUAAGGGACCGAACUAUAGUAGGGAAGUCCGCGAUGCUCUGUGGCGAGAAAAGGUGUAUGGUAUGCUAAGGUGCCCGUACCGCAAACCGACACAGGUAGAUGAGGAGAGAAUCCUAAGGCCAACGGGAGAAGGGUUGUUAAGGAACUCGGCAAAAUGACCCCGUAACUUCGGGAUAAGGGGAGCCUCCUACGGGAGGCCGCAGCGAAUAGGCCCAAGCGACUGUUUACCAAAAACACAGGUCUCUGCUAAAUCGAAAGAUGACGUAUAGGGGCUGACGCCUGCCCGGUGCUGGAAGGUUAAGAGGAGAUGUUAGCCGCAAGGCGAAGCAUUGAAUCGAAGCCCCAGUAAACGGCGGCCGUAACUAUAACGGUCCUAAGGUAGCGAAAUUCCUUGUCAGGUAAGUUCUGACCCGCACGAAUGGCGUAACGACUUGGGCGCUGUCUCAACAGCCCACCCGGCGAAAUUGUUGUACUGGUGAAGAAGCCAGUUACCCGCAACUAGACGGAAAGACCCCAUGGAGCUUUACUGUAGCUUAAUACUGGAAAUCGGUAAAUCAUGUACAGGAUAGGUGGGAGACUUGGAAGCCAGGGCGUCAGCUUUGGUGGAGUCACCCUUGGGAUACCACCCUUGAUUUGCUGGUUUUCUAACCUGCGGCCGUGAAUCCGGUCGGGGGACACUGUUAGGUGGGCAGUUUGACUGGGGCGGUCGCCUCCUAAAAGGUAACGGAGGCGCUCAAAGGUUC